AUAUAUAUUUAUAUAUUUAUAUAUAUAUAUAUAUAUACUAUAAAUUGUUUCCUUAAAAUGGUCGGUUUUUAUAUACUUCGAAAAUAAUUACUAUAGUUAUAUAUCUUCCUAAUAUACCAAGAAGUGUUUGAAUUUAUAUCCUAUAUACUAUUAUAGUAAAAUUAUUUUAAAUUAUAUAUACAUAUACAUAUAUAUAUAUAUAUGUAUAUAUUUUAAUAAUUAUUAAUAAUUGUACCCUUUAUGUUACCACUAAUAUUACUUUAAAUUAUAUAUUCCAUGUACUAAUAAUUAUUAAAAAAUAUAUCCCACAUACAUACAUAAAUUAUAUACAUAAACUAUAUAUAUAUAUAAACCCAUUGUAAAUGACACUCUAGUGAUUAUUUUCGAAGUUUCUUAUAUCAAAGAUUAUUUCCUUCUUUUUUCUUUUUUUUUUUUUUUUUUUUUUUCUUUCGUCGAACAAAAGCCAAAGAAAAGGAAGAACGAAAAGAAGCUAAUCCUAGAAAGUAUAGAAAUAUUAAUGCUAAUUUUUAAAUUAUAUAAUCCAUAUAUAAUAUAAUAAAAAAGAAAAAGAAAACAAAUAUUUCUUAGUGUAAAAAAAAAAUAAUAAAAUUAUAUUCCAUAAUUUGUACGCACAACAAAAAGGAUCCUUGAUUUGUAUUUUCUUUUUCUCUCUUUUUUUUUUUCUUUUUUUCUUUUUUUUUCUGUCUGUAUCCUUUUUUCCUUGAACGUAAAAAGAAAAAAAAAGGGGUAAGGAGAAAGGACGGAAGGAAUAGGAAUGAAGGAAAAAAAAUGAAAAAUACGAACGAGAAAACAGGAAACAAAUAAACGAACAACCAAACAAAUAAACAAAUGGGGAUGAAGAAAUUUCUAUAUAAAAUUUCCAGAAAAAUUGUGAAAAGUAUAGAAAGGAUGUAUCUAGAGGAGAAGAGGAAGGAGGGAGAUUGCCAUAAUAAACAAUGGGAUUUAUUCAUUGAUCGAUAUUUGAUGACGUAUCCAUGGGAACCUCUGAAGGACACUCGAGAUUGGAAGCAGCAUCGGAGUACUUCCAAUCGCGGGAAGAUGAAGCACGCUUCGGGCUUCUACUAGCCCCCCAAGAGGGUGAGGAGAGAGCAGGUGAGCGACCGGAGGAGGAGGAGGAGGAGGAGGAGGAGGAGGAGGAAGAGGAAGAGGAGAAGUAGGCCUGUUAUCGAUUCAACGAUGAAGAGGAUCGAUCUCGACAUUCCGUUGUCUCAUUAUCGUUAAUCGUUAUAAUCGUUUGUCGUCAUUGUACUUUUCAAAAAAAAAAAAAAAAAAAAAAAAGAAAAAAAAAAUACGAUUAGAACAAUUAGAACGAAUAUCUUGCGUGAAUUCGUUUUUACGAGGUUUAAAAGAAAAAAAAAAAAAGAAAAGAGAGAGAGAGAGAGAGACAAAAGAAAAAAGAAAUUUCAAUUUCGUGGCUCAAUUUUGUUUUGCAUAUUAAUUUAAUUGAUAUUUUAAAAGAUAUUCAUCGAAUAAUUCGAACCAUGAUUUUUCAAGUUACAACUGGCGUUUAGAGAUUAGAAUCAAAUGUGAUACGUUCAAUUUGGCUAAUCGAUAAGAUUAAAGCUAAUUUUAAUCAGAUAAGUACGAAAUCGAAUUAAACUAUAGUAAUCGGAAUUCAAUUUGGCAACUUUUUACGAGUCGUUUCUUAAAGCUGGCAAUUAUAAUAUUUAGAUUUGUAUCGAAUUGAUUUUGCCGAACGAAUUCCAAUUCCAGUUUGAGGUGGCAGGUAGAGAGAGGGGAAAAUCAAUUUUUAUUAUUUUUUUUUUUUCCCGAUAAGAGGUAAGAAGGAGAUUUAAGAGGAUGAUUUGAUCGAAUCAAACUUUCGAUCGUGGUAAGUUGGAUUGAUCAUUGUACGAAAUUAAAAUUCAAUUUUUCUCACGUAUAAAAUAAACAAUAGAAAUGCAUUGUUGUUAACGAGUCGAAUUUAAACGAUAAUUAAAUAAACAGUUGAAAAUUGAAAUCAACGAGAGAUAAGGUGCAUUCGUUCGUGAUAUAUAAGAGAGAUCAUCGAAAAGGGAUUUGAUCGAUGAAAUUGAUUCGUUCGUAUAGAGAAAAUUGCCUCAAAAUUUUGAUCGAUCGAGCAAAUUUUAAUUAGAAUUUAAUUCUGAAAUCAAAGAAUCGUCAAUUUUCAAUUUGAACUUUAAAUAUCGCAAUAAUCAUCACUUUAUAAUUAUUUUCAAAUUUACGUUUAAAUAGAAAUUAACAGAGGGAUGAGAGAGAGAAAGAGUUGGGGGAGGGGGGGGGAGAAAGAGGGAGUAAAAAAUGAAGAUUACGUAAGAGAGAUAUCAAAAGAUCGUUUUCGAAUUAAUCGAAUGAACUAUAAUCGAGCCAGAUAAUAACUGGAAUUCAAUUUUCGUCAAAUAAACGCGCCAAUCAUUGUUCCCAAUGAUUAUAUUGAAUAUAGUAUAUCGAGGUUUGAUCAAUUGGAAAUUAUUUGGAAUCGUAUUCAAACCUGAGGAAUUAAUAGAAUUGGUUCAUAGAUCAAAACCUUAAGAGAUAUAUCGAAAAGGGAUCAGAUCAAUUUCAUCUAAUCAUUAAGAUUGUGCUCGUUCAAUCAGAUACCAAAUAGGAUACAAUUUUCGUCAAAGGAGUCAUUAUUGUUCUCUCUAGGCUAUAUAAUUCAACUUCUGAACUUGAAGCUUCUCAACCAGUUGGAAAUUAUUUCGAUGUCUAUCGAAUGGAGAUUAACAACAGUGGUAAAGAUCAAACCGUAAGAGAAAGAGACACAGAGAAAGAGAGAGAGAGAGAGAGAGAGAGAGAGAUUGAGAGAGAGA